GGAAGGAAAUAAAAAAGAUCAGAGCAGGAGUGCAUCACAUCACUCUACCAUGGCCCAUGGGAAGGUUUGAGACUAGGGCCAAGAGCAGCCCUAACAGGGCCCUUACUGAGCUCCAGGGAGAAGGUGGCCACCCCCAGCAUUGAGGAGAGCUGUGCGGAUGCCAGCAGCACAUCCCCCCAUGGCCAUUCAAAUGAGAAGACACAUAAACAUGUCUCACAACCAGACAUCC
ensembl:ribozyme RNaseP_nuc Nuclear RNase P